UGGGGAAUUUUGGACAAUGGGCGAAAGCCUGAUCCAGCCAUGCCGCGUGAGUGAAGAAGGCCUUCGGGUUGUAAAGCUCUUUUAGUCGGAAAGAAAGAGUUGCAAUGAAUAAUUGUGAUUUAUGACGGUACCGACAGAAAAAGCACCGGCUAACUACGUGCCAGCAGCCGCGGUAAUACGUAGGGUGCGAGCGUUAAUCGGAAUUACUGGGCGUAAAGGGUGCGCAGGCGGUCUUGCAAGUCAGAUGUGAAAGCCCCGGGCUUAACCUGGGAAUUGCGUUUGAAACUACAAGGCUAGAGUGCAGCAGAGGGGAGUGGAAUUCCAUGUGUAGCAGUGAAAUGCGUAGAGAUGUGGAAGAACACCGAUGGCGAAGGCAGCUCCCUGGGUUGACACCGACGCUCAUGCACGAAAGCGUGGGGAGCAAACA
rnacentral:rRNA from 2 species